UGUAUGUUUGAUUUAGAAAUGGAAGUGGAUGAUAUAACUGUGCACACAGGCUACAAAGGUGGACUUGAGACAAGUAGGUUUCUGAGAAGCAGAGUUGAAAAUGGUUGUGGACUGACAAGAAGAAAGAAGGAUCCAGAAUUCAUCAAAAACAUCUCUUGUUUGUCUUUAAGUUUCAUAUGACACAGAAUUCUCCGAGAACAGCUUGCUAGUUGCUAAGUCUUCCGGCAAUGAUCAUGGUUUGUUCUCUCAUCUUCCAUAUCUCAGUUCAAUAAUUUAAUCAUUUUCGAAGUCUUACAAACACCAGAAUCUCUAUUCUUUGCUAAAGUUUAUCUUUUUGCCCGGUUCUUGGAUAAAGUUUGGCUUUUUCCUUGUUUUUGUUCACCUAUAUUCUCUAUGUUACGAUUUUAAGUCUUUGCUUGGCAACAUUUUAUGUAUUUACUCUGUUUCUUGUCUGUUUUGGUCAUGAAGAACACCUGGCCAAAGUUUUUUCUUUGAUUUAUUCUUGUCGUGUUCUGGCUUGUAGUGGCGGCUUCAACUACGGAUAAAGCUGUAGCUAAACUGCCAAAUGCACCAAUUUUCUCAUGUUAAGUCCGGUUUAGAUAAAAGUAUGGUGCUUUGAUUGUUACGACAGCAGAGAGGGAGCUUGGAACCAUGAGCUUGAUUCAUUGACACAGGUUGAUCUCAACAACUGCGAAGUUUCUUUGCUUUCAUUUUAGUGGUUUGCCUUUUCCUUAUGUGAGAAAGUGGGGUUAUGGUUAUACUUAAGCAAAUCCAUAUUUUAGAGCUUGAUGCUUUUAAUUCAUGUUUACAUGUAUUGACUUUGUGUGUUUUAAAUUUUUAAUGGAAAACUAUAUGAUUGUUCAAUAAGUGGAAUCAGACUAUAUUUAAAAAUUUGAUUGUAAAUAACAUUCUUUUAUGAUUUUUCAAUGAAUUUGAAAUUUCAUAAUAAAAUAAAAAUUAUGUUUAGGAAUUAAAUUAGCAUUUGUGGUUUGAGGUUUAGAUUUAAUAUUUGAAACUAAUUUUAUAAAAUAUUAAAUUUUGAAUUUAAACUUAAGAUUUGAGAUUAAAAUAAUAAAAUAUCUAUGUUUUAAGAGUUGUGUUUAAAGUUUAGGGUUUCAACCCUAACCCCUAAACCUAAUUUUAAAACUUCAAUGUUUUCAUGAUAUAGCUUUAAUCUUUAAUUUGAAUUCAAAAUUUAAUCAUUUUAAAAAUACAAUCUAAACUUUAAAUUAUAAACCUCAAACACUAAAUCGUAAAUUUACACCAUAAACAUUGCAUACAAAUAUUUAAAACUCAAAUCUUUAAUUAUUUGACUUUAAAUUUUUAAAUUUAAUCAUAAAGUCCACUAUUAAAUCAUAAAAUCUAAAGAUAACACAAAAGUAAUAUGAUAAAAAGAAAAUUCAACACUAAUAAUAAAUUAUAAAAAUAAAAUAAAAAACCUGUUUACCUUAAGUUCUAAACCCUAAACAUGCCCUAAACCCUAACUACAUAUCUCAAUACCCUAUAUCUUAAAUUCCAUUUUAUACAUAAAUCUUCAACUUUAAACAUUUUAAUUCAAACAUUUGGAUUAUAUAUCAUACAGAAAUAUUCAAGUUUAAAGAUUAUAAUACAAACCCUACAUAUACAUACCCCUAGCCUUACUUAUAACUUCAAACCCUAUAUCAUAUUCCAAACUCUAUACAAAAAGUAUUAAAUCAUAACACUUUAAAAUUAUAACACUUAUUUUAUACUAAAUUAUGAAAUUAUACAAAGUAUAAAAUCUAAAUAAAAUCAGUAUAUUCAUAAUAUAACUUCAAUCCCUAAACUCCAAACCACAUACUUCAUAAGAAGAUAAUUUGUACUGUUUUUUAUGAGCCAUUGAUUGAUUUUUAAAUCAAAGGUCCAAAAUCAAUCUCCUAUCUAUCUUUCCCCCUUGUUUUCUAUUGGUUUGGCGCGGAUCACCCUCUGCACCGUUAGAUCAUAACGAACCAACGCUUGAGAUUUUUUUUUCAAUUAUUUUCUGAGAACAGAUCGCGUUGGAGAGAGAUAGAGAGAGAGGGGUCAGAAAAAAAGAGAGAAUGCUCGACGCCCUAGCAAACCUCGGCCUCCUUCUCUUCUUCUUCUUCCUCUUAAAUAAAGUGGAGGAGGCUGAAGAAGCUUGGUGGUGGUGGUCUCGCCACCGACUCCAUAUCAGAAGAAGCAUGGCUCGAGACGAGAAGACAAAGGGCUGGUGAUUCAAGAACAGAACAUAACUCGUGCUCUGUUUUUUUCUGUGGUGAUGCGACGACAGCACUCUGGAGGCUGAAGGCGGAUGCUCUGGAGGCUAGAGGCUGGAGGCUGGAGGCUAGAGGCGGAGGAAUUAGGGUUGUAGGCAGAGGCUUAGAUUUUUUUUUUUGUCGACAGGUAGAGAUCGAAAUCUGGUUAUCAUGAGUUGGAAACAGAAGAGGAUUUAGGUUGAUGAUAUGGGUGAUGAUAUGGAUGAUGAUAGCGUAUAUGUUAGGGAUGAUUGUGAAGGUUUAUUAGUGGUAGAUUGAUGAUAUGUUGUAUGCUUGUGUGAUGGUUUGUAUGAAUGUGAUAAUGUUGUGUUAUGGGAUUUGAAUAAUUAUAUUGAUUUUUGGAAUUUUAAUAAUUUAUAUUGUUUUUA